rnacentral:lncRNA from 1 species
GUGAAAUUAAGUUUUAAUCUAUUGGAUUCCAGCAGGUAUAAUUAUGAUAGAUUUACGACGGAAAUUAUAAAAAUUAAUAAGAAAUAAACACCAGUUUUUCACUUUAACUGUUAAAGUAUGGCGCAUCAGAGAAAUCUAACGGGGCCAACAUAGGCGUUUCUUGUAACAAUUUGCCAUGUUUAUUUAAUUUGGGGGCUAUAACGAUUAAUAGAAAGAUGAUAAAAAGAGGAC